AACGAACGCUGGCGGCGUGCUUAACACAUGCAAGUCGAACGCGAACGGGUUCUUCGGGACCUUAGUAGAGUGGCGCACGGGUGAGUAACGCGUAAGUUAUCUACCUCGGCAUCUGGAAUAACUCACCGAAAGGUGUGCUAAUACCGGAUACGUUGAGUAAUCAAGAAAGGUGGCCUCUGAAUAUGCUACCGUGCUGAGAUGAGCUUGCGUACCAUUAGCUAGUUGGUGGGGUAAUGGCCUACCAAGGCGACGAUGGUUAGCGGGUCUGAGAGGAUGAUCCGCCACACUGGAACUGGAACACGGACCAGACUCAUACGGGAGGCAGCAGUGAGGAAUAUUGCGCAAUGGGGGCAACCCUGACGCAGCGACGCCGCGUGGAUGAUGAAGGCCUUCGGGUCGUAAAAUCCUGUCAGGUGGAAAGAAAUGUAUAUGUGCUAAUACCAUGUAUACUUGACGGUACCACCGAAGGAAGCACCGGCUAACUCCGUGCCAGCAGCCGCCGUAAUAC
rnacentral:rRNA from 1 species